AUCUUUGGUGCCCUGCCGGGUAGGGGAUUGUAUAGAGGGCCCAUCCCACCCCUGCAUUCGGUUCCCCAAAGGCCCCAGGGGUUAGUGAAUGGGCAAAAAAAGGAGGUCCCAGGAAAAAGUGGUUUGGGCUUAAGUUACAAUUAUGUUAUAUGUGACGUUUUAAGUUUAGUCACUCUUGCUGACAGCUUAAUGUACUCAGGUUGAUGUAAGGUUUCAACAGUUUACUUGUUUAAAAAACACGAGGUGAUAGGUCGUACAGAGGCACCUUAAAAUACCAGGAAGAAUAUCGACUUAAUCUGGAAACAGGUCGCCAUGAGUACGCCUACGCUAGUUUUUUCGAUCGAUGCCGAAAAGACCUUCGAUAGGGUCCGGUGGCUGUACCUGUUCACAUUGCUGACUCAUUUAGGUUUCCCUGAGGAAUACGUAGUGAUAAUUAAAGUGUGCUCUCAUUAGAACCCUUCCUGCAGGUGAUUCGGAGACACCCACAUAUACAGGGAGUUAGAGUAGGAAGCAGAGAAUUUAAGGUAUUGGCAUAUACGGGGCCGUGUCGGGAUAUAAGGCAAAUAUCACCAAAUCCUGGCGGUUUACCUGUGGGGGUUACGGCAGCGGACACGGCAUGGCUGUGUGACACUUACCACAUACGAAUAGAAAAAACACUCUGAAAUAUCUGGGGAUUAAUUUAUCGGCAGACCCAGGAAAACUACAUACUGUUAAUUACACACCGUUACUACAAACUUUGAUUAACGACCUAGAAAAAUGGACACAAACCCAUAUAAUGGAUAGGGCGGAUUCACUCCAUCAAAAUGAAUAUCCUACAGCGCAUCCUAUUCCUGUUUCAGGCACUACCCACACUCAUUACCAAAACCCACCUUGUGCCCUUACAAUGCGCAAUAGGGGCCUUUAUCUAGCAAAACAAAAGACACAGAAUAUCAAGACAGGUACUGUACUGACUAAAAACUAGGCGUGGACUGGGUCUCUCGAACCUGUUCUUUUAUUACUUAGCGGCACAAUUGACUCAGGUGGCAAUGUGGCACUCUCCUCCAGAGGAUAGGAAAUGGGUGGAAACUGAGUUUCUUAUGGUGGGUGCAGACAUACCUCAAUUUACGAUGUGGGUCCCCAAGGAGCACAGACCUAUGAAUAGAGCGACCUGCCCGGCAAUCCUCAACUCCCUGAAGAUAUGGGACUCGACCAACAUAAAGUAUGGCCUGGCAACUUCACGUUCUCCCCUAAUGCCACUCCUUUGCAACAGAGCAUUCCCGCUGGGCUUAACCACAAGGGACAUCCAAAAUCUAGAAAAAGUGGGCUUCUAGAGGAUUUGCCAUUUCUGUCAGGGCCAGGAGUUGGUUACGUUCGAUGACAUUUAGCAGAAUAGCUUCUUAACACCUUCAGAUUUCUUUAGAUACAUGCAGCUUAGCGAUUUUGCUAAACAACCACAUAUUAAGGCAGCGGCCUGUAGGGCACGUACUUUCUUUGAGUGCUUAUGUGAAGCAGAAAUCAUGCCCAAAGGAUUGAUAACACAGAUAUACGCCCACACCUGCUUUGAAAACACGGAAUGGGAUGAUUAAAUUACACUGAUCAAUGGGAAAGGGACCUAGGCGAGGUGUUAUAAGGCAUACAAUGGCAGGAGAUUUGGGAAUCAAACGAAAAUACAUCCCUGUGCGUGACCCUCCACUAACAAACCUGGAAAACCAUUGUGACGAGACCAAUCUCGCCACAUUGCAUUGGAGAAGCCUGGUUGCCCGCCUGCUGCCCCUGGACUAUGGCCCCCUUUUAAAAGACAUCUUUUUUUACCUGCAGAAAAGCUUCAUUCGUGCUUUUCUGCCUGGGGUUCGGUAGAUU